GUGAAAAAAUUAGUGUUCAAUAACCUAUCCGCUAUUAUACGAUAGACCAUAUGGUUCCGUGCUGGUUCCUCCACAAAUAGACGGCAGGUAUGUGACUAGAAGUAUUAGGACUUGUUGGGUUGUACGCAACAAGCAUGGUCAUUUUUUUUGUAAACAGCUUCGUUGAUCUUGUUAUGAUAUUUGUAAGUUGAAAACAGCAUUUUUUAUACAUUGUGCCGAAAAGGUACUGCUGUUGUUGUUAUAGCUCUCUUUUCAUUGUAAACAAUUUCAUUUUUUGGAGGA
rnacentral:lncRNA from 1 species